rnacentral:rRNA from 1 species
AGUGGGGGAUAACGUUCGGAAACGGACGCUAAUACCGCAUACGUCCUACGGGAGAAAGCAGGGGACCUUCGGGCCUUGCGCUAUCAGAUGAGCCUAGGUCGGAUUAGCUAGUUGGUGGGGUAAUGGCUCACCAAGGCGACGAUCCGUAACUGGUCUGAGAGGAUGAUCAGUCACACUGGAACUGAGACACGGUCCAGACUCCUACGGGAGGCAGCAGUGGGGAAUAUUGGACAAUGGGCGAAAGCCUGAUCCAGCCAUGCCGCGUGUGUGAAGAAGGUCUUCGGAUUGUAAAGCACUUUAAGUUGGGAGGAAGGGCAGUAAAUUAAUACUUUGCUGUUUUGACGU